GCUUGUCUCAAAGAUUAAGCCAUGCAUGUCUUAGUGUAAAUAACUCUUAUGAAACUGCGAAUGGCUCAUUAAAUCAGUUAUCAAAUACGUGAUGGUCGCCUACUACAUGGAUAACCGUAGUAAUUCUAGAGCUAAUACAUGCACAAAAUCCCGACUUACGAAGGGAUGUAUUUAUUAGAUACAAACCAACAUCGUGGUGAUUCAUAAUAACUUUGCGAAUCGUAUGCCUCACGGCGACGAUGAAUCAUUCAAAUUUCUGCCCUAUCAGCUUUCGACGGUAGUGUAGUGGACUACCGUGGCGCUAACGGGUGACGGAGAAUUAGGGUUCGGUUCCGGAGAGGGAGCCUGAGAAACGGCUACCACAUCCAAGGAAGGCAGCAGG
rnacentral:rRNA from 1 species